GAUGAAGAACGUAGUGAAAUGCGAUACGUAAUGUGAAUUGCAGAAUUCAGUGAAUCAUCGAAUCUUUGAACGCACAUUGCACUCUCUGGUAUUCCGGAGAGUAUGCUUGUUUGAGUAUCAGUAAACACCUCAAAUCUCUUGUUUCUUGUGAAUAAGAGAAUUGGACUUGAGCAAUCCCAACUCUUGCAAAAGAGGCGGGUUGCUUGAAAUGCAGGUGCAGCUGGACAUUCUUCUGAGCUAAAAGCAUAUUUAUUUAGUCCCGUAAAACGGAUUAUUACUUUUGCUGCAGCUAACAUAAAGGUUGAAUGGCCAAUAUGGCUGACUGAUGCAGGAUUAACAGAGAAUUUAUUCUUUGUAAACUCGAUCUCAAAUCAAGUAAGACUACCCGCUGAACUUAAGCAUAUCAAUAAGCGGAGGA
rnacentral:misc_RNA from 1 species